UACGUAGGGUGCGAGCGUUUAAUCGGAAUUACUGGGCGUAAAGCGUGCGCAGGCGGUUCGUUGUGUCGGUGGUGAAAGCCCCGGGCUUAACCUGGGAAUGGCCAUGGAAACUGGCGAACUGGAGUGUGGCAGAGGGGGGUGGAAUUCCGCGUGUAGCAGUGAAAUGCGUAGAGAUGCGGAGGAACACCGAUGGCGAAGGCAGCCCCCUGGGCUGACACUGACGCUCAGGCACGAAAGCGUGGGGAGCAAACAGG
rnacentral:rRNA from 1 species